rnacentral:rRNA from 1 species
CCCUUAGAUGUUCUGGGCUGCACGCGCGCUACACUGAUGCAUGCAACGAGUUUUCGACCUUGCCUGAAAAGGUUGGGUAAUCUGUUUAACAUGUGUCGUGAUGGGGAUAGACCAUUGCAAUUAUUGAUCUUCAACGAGGAAUUCCUAGUAAGCGCGGGUCAUCAUCCCGCGCUGAAUACGUCCCUGCCCUUUGUACACACCGCCCGUCGCUCCUACCGAUUGAGUGGUCCGGUGAGGCUUUGGGAUCUGAGCGGAAAGAGCGUUUCGCUGUUUCUGCCCGGAAAACUCAGUCGAACCUUAUCAUUUAGAGGAAGGAGAAGUCGUAACA